GACGGAAGGUGCAAGCGUUGCUCGGAAUCACUGGGCGUAAAGGGUGCGUAGGCGGCUUGGUGGGUCUGGUGUGAAAGCCCCGGGCUCAGCCCGGGAAGGGCACUAGAAACUGCCAAGCUGGAGUGCCGGAGGGGAGAGUGGAAUUCCUGGUGUAGCGGUGAAAUGCGCAGAUAUCAGGAGGAACACCGAUUGCGAAGGCAGCUCGCUGGGACGUAACUGACGCUGAGACGCGAAAGCGUGGGGAGCAAACAGG
rnacentral:rRNA from 1 species